CCAUUAAGCAAUCUGCUCGAAGCCAGCUGCGCUUAACGCAGAUAACAAAUACAGGAAGCAACUAAUGCAAAAUUUAAACAACGAACGUAAGACGAACCACAUGAGCAAAUUAACAACACCUUGAAUAAAAUAUUCAAAUAAAAUUAAAUUAAAAUGAA